CGGGGUGAGUAAUGUCUGGGAAACUGCCUGAUGGAGGGGGGAAACUGCUGGAAACGGUAGCUAAUACCGCAUAACGUCGCAAGACCAAAGAGGGGGACCUUCGGGCCUCUUGCCAUCGGAUGUGCCCAGAUGGGAUUAGCUAGUAGGUGGGGUAACGGCUCACCUAGGCGACGAUCCCUAGCUGGUCUGAGAGGAUGACCAGCCACACUGGAACUGAGACACGGUCCAG
rnacentral:rRNA from 1 species